rnacentral:tRNA from 1 species
GGGGAUGUGGCUCAAGUGGUAGCGUGCUCGCCUGGCAUGUGUGCGGUCUGGGUUCGAUCCCCAGCACCACA